UACGUAGGGGCCGAGCGUUGUCCGGAGUUAUUGGGCGUAAAGCGCGCGCAGGCGGCCUCGCGCGCCCGACGUGAAAGCCCCCGGCUUAACCGGGGAGGGUCGUUGGGGACGGCGGGGCUUGAGGGCGGGAGAGGUCGGUGGAAUUCCCAGUGUAGAGGUGAAAUUCGUAGAUAUUGGGAAGAACACCGGUGGCGAAGGCGGCCAUCUGGACCGCAACUGACGCUGAGGCGCGAAAGCGUGGGGAGCAAACAGG
rnacentral:rRNA from 1 species